rnacentral:rRNA from 1 species
GGCGGCGUGCUUAACACAUGCAAGUCGAGCGGAAAGGCCCUUCGGGGUACUCGAGCGGCGAACGGGUGAGUAACACGUGAGUAACCUGCCCUCAACUUCGGGAUAAGCCUGGGAAACCGGGUCUAAUACCGGGUAGGACCUUCGGUGGCAUCGCUGGGGGUGGAAAGUUUUUUCGGUUGGGCAUGGGCUCGCGGCCUAUCAGCUUGUUGGUGGGGUAGUGGCCUACCAAGGCGACGACGGGUAGCCGGCCUGAGAGGGCGACCGGCCACACUGGGACUGAGACACGGCCCAGACUCCUACGGGAGGCAGCAGUGGGGAAUAUUGCGCAAUGGGCGGAAGCCUGACGCAGCGACGCCGCGUGGGGGAUGACGGCCUUCGGGUUGUAAACCUCUUUCAGCAGGGACGAAGUUGACGUGUACCUGUAGAAGAAGCGCCGGCUAACUACGUGCCAGCAGCCGCGGUAAUACGUAGGGCGCGAGCGUUGUCCGGAAUUAUUGGGCGUUAAGAGCUCGUAGGUGGCUUGUCGCGUCUGCCGUGAAAGCCCAUGGCUUAACCUGUGGGUCUGCGGUGGAUACGGGCUGGCUAGAGGUAGGUAGGGGCAAGCGGAAUUCCUGGUGUAGCGGUGAAAUGCGCAGAUAUCAGGAGGAACACCGGUGGCGAAGGCGGCUUGCUGGGCCUUACCUGACGCUGAGGAGCGAAAGCGUGGGGAGCGAACAGGAUUAGAUACCCUGGUAGUCCACGCUGUAAACGUUGGGCGCUAGGUGUGGGGUCCUUCCACGGGCUCCGUGCCGUAGCUAACGCAUUAAGCGCCCCGCCUGGGGAGUACGGCCGC